UACGUAGGGUGCGAGCGUUGUCCGGAAUUACUGGGCGUAAAGAGCUCGUAGGUGGUUUGUCGCGUUGUCCGUGAAAACUCACAACUCAAUUGUGGGCGUGCGGGCGAUACGGGCAGACUGGAGUACUGCAGGGGAGACUGGAAUUCCUGGUGUAGCGGUGAAAUGCGUAGAGAUCAGGAGGAACACCCGUGGCGAAGGCGGCUCUCUGGGUCCGCCCUGACGCUGAGGCGCGAAAGCGUGGGGAGCGAACGGG
rnacentral:rRNA from 1 species